UUUCUCCGAAACUAUAAGAACUAUACUGUUGAAACUUGGUAAGUAGAUGUAUUCUAUGAACCGCAUUAAGAUUUUCACACAAAAAUAGAAAAAAACAACAAUAAAAACUGAAACUCAAAAUUUUUUUUUCAUCAAACCCAUACGUGUGGGGUAUUUAUGGAUAGGUCUUCAAAAAUGAUAUUGAGGUUUCUAAUAUCAUUUUUUUCUAAACUGAAUAGUUUGCGCGAGAGACACUUCCAAAGUGGUAAAAUGUGAGUCCCCCCCCUGUAACUUCUAAAAUAACAGAAUGAUAAAACUAAAAAAAAUAUAUGAUGUACAUUACCAUGUAAACUUCCACCGAAAAUUGGUUUGAACGAGAUCUAGUAAGUAGUUUUUUUUUAAUACGUCAUAAA